UACGGUGGGGACUAGCGUUGUUCGGAAUUACUGGGCGUAAAGCGCACGUAGGCGGAUUUGUAAGUCAGGGGUGAAAUCCCGGGGCUCAACCUCGGAACUGCCUUUGAUACUGCAAAUCUCGAGUCCGGAAGAGGUGAGUGGAAUUCCUAGUGUAGAGGUGAAAUUCGUAGAUAUUAGGAAGAACACCAGUGGCGAAGGCGGCUCACUGGUCCGGUACUGAGGCUGAGGUGCGAAAGCGUGGGGAGCAAACAGG
rnacentral:rRNA from 1 species